rnacentral:tRNA from 1 species
GCCUCUUUAGCUCAGUGGUAGAGCACUGGUCUCGCAAACCAGGGGGUGUGAGUUUAAACCUCACAGAAGGCA